UACAGAGGGUGCAAGCGUUAAUCGGAAUUACUGGGCGUAAAGCGUGCGCAGGCGGUUAUGUAAGACAGGCGUGAAAUCCCCGGGCUUAACCUGGGAACUGCAUUUGUGACUGCAUAGCUAGAGUACGGUAGAGGGGGAUGGAAUUCCGCGUGUAGCAGUGAAAUGCGUAGAUAUGCGGAGGAACACCGAUGGCGAAGGCAAUCCCCUGGACCUGUACUGACGCUCAUGCACGAAAGCGUGGGGAGCAAACAGG
rnacentral:rRNA from 1 species